GCCGAAUCCUUCAGGACGGCUUCGGGAAGCAGCACGUGGUGUGCUGAGAUGGGCUGACUUGAGGUGCUCAUUUCCAAAGGAUCCCCCAAGAGGAAACUCUCUCCUCUGAAGCUCUUUCUCGUGCUCCAUGGGACUCUCUGGCACGUGCUCGCCCGCAGUGUCUCCGUGUCUCCCUCCACAUUCCCUCACUUCCAACCCCCCCUCCAGCCCACCUCGAAACACAUUCAUCUAUUUCUGCUGCAGGAGAGAGCCCCUUCGGGAAGCAGGUCCAUAAAUCACCAGCAACACUUGGAAAGAAAAAUCGUUAUUGUGA